UGACAGACGGGCGUUCUGCUCCUCUUUAAAGAGCAUGGAUUUAUCCACACCCUAUGACAUGAAUGAAAUGAGUUUUCAGGGCUGCCAACUCUCCAGUUAGGGUUCUGCAGUAGUAUGCCUCUUCUACAAUA
ensembl:snoRNA small nucleolar RNA U109